CUGGAGACUGGUCCUGCUUAGCAUCCCGGGUGAAGGCCUUUACCAGCCCUCACAUGAUUUCAUCCUGCCUGGGUAAUGGCUAAUUCAGAGGUCAUUUUAUCCCUCACUCAACUAAAUAUCUCUUCCAGCUGGGGAUUUUAUUUGACUGCUUUUUCCUAGCUGCUGAACUCUUCAGCUCUUUAAGAUCUGAAAUGGAUUAUACAGAAAUAUGUAAGGCCCAGCUGAAACCUGACCCUCCUGCUAACUGUGUUGUUUUCACAUCUGAUAAAUCCUUUACCUGAGAUGAGGGAAAAACAACUCCAAAAUACAUAAUAACAAAUAAGGCAGCAAAAUGGAAGAAGCAAGACACCCUAGUCUGUUUUUCCAACGUGUUUUUAAAUAAAAAUUAUCAAUAAUAA